UACGUAGGGGGCAAGCGUUGUCCGGAUUUAUUGGGCGUAAAGAGCGUGUAGGCGGCCUGAAAGGUCAGCUGUGAAAACUCGAGGCUCAACCUCGAGACGUCGGUUGAAACCAUCUGGCUAGAGUCCGGAAGAGGAGAGUGGAAUUCCCGGUGUAGCGGUGAAAUGCGCAGAUAUCGGGAAGAACACCCGUGGCGAAAGCGGCCGGCUGGGCCCAACCUGACGCUGAGGCGCGAAAGCGUGGGGAGCGAACCGG
rnacentral:rRNA from 1 species